rnacentral:rRNA from 1 species
CACGUAGGCACCAAGCGUUGUCCGGAUUUAUUGGGCGUAAAGAGCUCGUAGGCGGUUCGGUAAGUCGGGUGUGAAAACUUUGGGCUCGACCCAAAGCCUGCACUCGAUACUGCUGUGACUUGAGUCCGGUAGGGGAGUGGGGAAUUCCUGGUGUAGCGGUGGAAUGCGCAGAUAUCAGGAGGAACACCGGUGGCGAAGGCGCCACUCUGGGCCGGUACUGACGCUGAGGAGCGAAAGCGUGGGGAGCGAACAGG